UAAACGACGUCGGGGCGAACCUACGCCUCCGUACAGGGGAGUAACAAGUUAGUAAAUAGACUGCUAAAACCGACCAUAAGACGCACAGCAGCGCAUGCUGCAGUGUGAAAAACUACCGGCGGUGCGGGAUGGGCCCGCGUCUGAUUAGCUUGUUGGCGGGGUAACGGCCCACCAAGGCAGCGAUCAGUAGCCGAUCUGAGAGGAUGGCCGGCCACAUUGGGACUGAGACACGGCCCAAACUCCUACGGAAGGCAGCAG
rnacentral:rRNA from 1 species